GUGGGUUUAGCUCAGCCGGUUAGAGCGCCGCUCUGUGGAAGCGGAGGUCGUGGGUUCAAAUCCCAUAAUCCACCCCA
rnacentral:tRNA from 13 species